AUACGGAGGGUGCAAGCGUUAAUCGGAAUUACUGGGCGUAAAGAGUACGUAGGUGGUCUAUUAAGUCAGAUGUGAAAGCCCCGGGCUCAACCUGGGAACUGCAUUUGAAACUGAUAAACUAGAGUAUGGUAGAGGGGGGUAGAAUUUCUAGUGUAGCGGUGAAAUGCGUAGAUAUUAGAAGGAAUACCAGUGGCGAAGGCGGCCCCCUGGACCAAUACUGACACUGAGGUACGAAAGCGUGGGUAGCGAACAGGAUUAGAAACCCCAGUAGUCC
rnacentral:rRNA from 1 species